rnacentral:rRNA from 1 species
GAUGAACGCUGGCGGCGUGCCUAAUACAUGCAAGUCGAACGCUGAAGCUUGGUGCUUGCACCGAGCGGAUGAGUUGCGAACGGGUGAGUAACGCGUAGGUAACCUGCCUCUUAGCGGGGGAUAACUAUUGGAAACGAUAGCUAAUACCGCAUAAAAGUCGAUAUCGCAUGAUAUUGAUUUGAAAGGUGCAAAUGCAUCACUAAGAGAUGGACCUGCGUUGUAUUAGCUAGUUGGUGAGGUAACGGCUCACCAAGGCGACGAUACAUAGCCGACCUGAGAGGGUGAUCGGCCACACUGGGACUGAGACACGGCCCAGACUCCUACGGGAGGCAGCAGGAGGGAAUCUUCGGCAAUGGGGGCAACCCUGACCGAGCAACGCCGCGUGAGUGAAGAAGGGUUUCGGAUCGUAAAGCUCUGUUGUAAGAGAAGAACGAGUGUGAGAGUGGAAAGUUCACACUGUGACGGUAACUUAACAGAAAGAGACGGCUAACUACGUG